AACUGCCUUGCGUUCUAGUGGACCUGGGUUC
rnacentral:piRNA from 1 species